GAACGCACAUUGCGCCCGCCAGCAUUCUGGCGGGCAUGCCUGUUCGAGCGUCAUUUCAACCCUCGACUUCCCUUUGGGGAAAUCGGCGUUGGGGAACGGCAGCAUACCGCCGGCCCCGAAAUGGAGUGGCGGCCCGUCCGCGGCGACCUCUGCGUAGUAAUCCAACUCGCACCGGAACCCCGACGUGGCCACGCCGUAAAACACCCAACUUCUGAACGUUGACCUCGGAUCAGGUAGGAAUACCCGCUGAACUUAAG
rnacentral:misc_RNA from 1 species